rnacentral:tRNA from 2 species
GGGGGAAUACUCAAGCGGUCAACGAGGGCAGACUGUAAAUCUGCUGGCUUAGCCUUCAGAGGUUCGAAUCCUCUUUCCCCCACAA